UCCGGUACGAUCACUGAAGUUAAGCAACGUCGAGCCUGGUAAGUACCUAGAUGGGUGACUGCUUAGGAAUACCCUGUGCUCCAU